rnacentral:rRNA from 1 species
UACGUAGGGGGCGAGCGUUGUCCGAAGUUACUGGGCGUAAAGCGCGCGUAGGCGGGUUGGCAAGUCUGCUGUGAAAGCCCGGAGCUUAACUCCGGAGGGUCGGUGGAUACUGCCAAUCUUGAAGGGACUAGGGGGAGAUGGAAUUACCGGUGUAGCGGUGAAAUGCGUAGAGAUCGGUAGGAACACCAGUGGCGAAGGCGGUCUCCUGGGGUUAUCUUGACGCUGAGGCGCGAAAGCUGGGGGGAGCGAACGGGG